ensembl:snoRNA SNORD114-5 small nucleolar RNA, C/D box 114-5
CGGGCUGAUGAUGACUACUGGUGGCGUAUGAGUCUCAAACGAUGACUACGUCUGUACUCUGAGGUCCGA